GCCAAGAACCAACCAUUGAAAACCAACAGCAAAGUAGUUUGUUUCGGUAUUUCGGACAAGCGCAGUGUGACUUUGUUCCUUCACCGCUUUAUUCAAUAGUUGUUACGGUAUUUGUUGGUGUAAUUUGUUAUGUGAUUGUAUUUGAAACGUGCGGAGAGCUCGUGGGUGAUGUGAAUCAGUGUUGUUGAAUUGUGUGCAAAGUGAGAUACAAAAUAAUAAGUAAGUUGUGGAGUUGAGAAAGGAAUUCGAACGUUAAGAUGCCGAUGCCCCUAUGCUGUGAGCUCAAUAUUGCCGCCACUGUAGGCUAUGAGAGGAGUAGCGGCGGUCAGUAACAACGGCGCAGUCAAGAACGACAACAUCGCACGAAACAACGGCAACGGUCCUGAGGCGGUGGCACAGGGUGGGUCAGGUGGCACAGGAAGUGUUAUAGCCGCGUUCUUCGUCAAUAAGUUUCGCAGAAAUCGUCAACGGUUCACCAACUCUGAUGGUAAUAACAAUAGCAACGGUGGAGGGGUGAGGAGAGGGAUUGUAAGGAGACGUGAGUCACCCCGCAGAAGUCAAGAGGUGAAGGUUGUGGUGGUGCCUGAAGGCGACACCAGCAGCAGUGUCAGUAGUGUCUCUGCAUCUUCAGAAUCGUUAGAAUCGGUCGACCCGGAGAUCGUAGAGAAGUUUAUCGAAGAAGUGGAGUACUAUCGGAGGUGCAACGUUGUCGACGGUGUUAUCUACGCCGACAAAACGGGGCCCACCGUGGAAACAGUGCAAACUCCGGAGAAGAAAAAGGUGGGAGGCAUCCGGAGGCUGCUGACUCCCACCCUCUUCUCCGGCGAUGGCAGGCGCAGCAAAGUGGGUCAGCUGGACAAGAGGAACGGAGACGCCUCUCCCGGGAAGGCGCCCGUCAUUGAGACGGCAUUCGUCGGCGAUGAGCGUCGCUCCAAGAGUGUCAGCCCCUGUAGGUUCGAACCUCGCUACGGUGUCCCUAAAACCCGGCCCUCUCAAGAGCUAACUGUAGACACAGGGAGGCCCCCCAGUGCUGCUAGCACUAUUUCUUCAACAUCAACUUCCACCUUAGUCACCCCCCAAACAUCCCCCAGCUACAGAGACCGGGAUCGGUUACUCAUCCUCAGUCGAAACAACAAUAACGAGAAGUCUGGUACCUCCAGUCCGCUACCGAACUCCCCUAAUAAAAUUCGUCCCCGGUUCUACAGUAUUGAAAGUCCUGUCAGAUAUACGGAUAACAAUGUUAUAAAACCGCAACCCCUUUACAACAGCACUACACCUAGACGUCCCCGUAGUGUGUCACCGGACACCGCGGCAAGUUCCCCUGAUUACUUCAUUAGAGGUGCCGGACACCGUAAUACCAUCGGAUCCACUGUACGUGCUAGACAGAGUACGAUCUACGAAGAGGUAGAUGAUGCCGGACUGCAUCUAGCCGCUGAUAAAUCUGUCAAAAGAUUUGAUUCAUCGACGGGGAGUGGUACAGGUAAACGAGUCAGUUUCUCCCCUAAUCGUCAGCAGGAAAUUUACUGGCCCACCCGGAAAGGACCCUCCGUGGAGCCACCAACUCGUCGCGGAGGUGGUGAAGUGUCUUCUGCCGCCCCUGACCGUCCCCUGCCCCCUGUGCCCCGCCCCCGUGGUACUGGUGAGUACGGCCGUUUGCCGCCUCCAGCGAAUCAACCAGUAACUCGUCGAGUUCAAGCGUUGGCUAACAGAUGGCAGCACCAGUCCGAAUCUGAGUCUGGCAGUGAGGCCGGCGAAAUACAGCGUAUACUCCACAAUACCUACUACAAGUUCCAAGAAGAAGAAUGGAGCGGAGAAGGAAAAGGAAGAGGUCAACAGAAUUCAGAUCAGCAAGGCGGCCAAGGACGAGAGCGAGAGGAGGAGAGUAGAAAGAGCAAUCGAGCGAGGAGGGAUGACCCCAGAAGGCACACCCUGUCCGGUGAUCACCAUCACAACUACCCCUCCGCACUAGCGCGCAGCAUGGAUCUAGAGAUGGGAUCGAAAACUCAGAGACGAAAGUCGCCGUUGCCACGGGGCUACCCGCCGCCCUCGACGGCCAUGUUGUUCGAUGACGACCCGGGCAUCAUGUCCGAAGUGGAGACGGCGUCGACCGGAUUCCGACGCGGCAACAAACAGCGCAGUUCGCUGCCCGUCGUAAGGACGCCUUCCAAGACGCUCGAACGACCCCUCGGACCGGGUGGAGGUGGCAUGGUGAUGGGACGGCCUCAGCCGCCCAUGGCGAUGGGCCCAGGGCCGGGGCCCCCGGGUCAUCCGCCCGCCUCCAGGAAGUACGUCAGUCUCGAUCCCAACUUCCACAAUCAUCCAGGAUUUUGUGGUUUGGUUUUUCUGCAGUAUCGAAGCGAAACGAAACGAGCACUUUUGCCGAACGAAAUCACGUCGAUAGACACAGUCAAGGCACUCUUUGUGCGCUCCUUCCCCAAGCAACUCACCAUGGAGUACCUCGAUUCGCCCCAUGUCAAAAUCUACAUCCACGAUUCAUCGAAGGAUAUGUUCUACGAAUUGGAGGAUCUAAGGUCGCACCUGCGUGACAUCCGUGACCGGUCGGUGCUGCGUCUGUUCGAGUCGUCGGACGUGAGCGGGGCGGGGGCGGGAGGCGGCGUGUCGGGGGCAGGAAUGGCUGUGCCGCCCCCAACCUGGGACCAGGAUCAGUCCUACUUCAGUGAGCCCGAGUUCGACUCCGAAUACCAGCACCAGCACAUCCACAAAACUAAGGGUAGCAAAUCGGCAGUGGGGGGUCACCAGCCUUACUACAUGACUCACUCGUUCCCGCCUGGAGGGGCGACCCUUCCUCGUGGCGGUCCCCUACUCAGAACCUACUCACCGGCUGUACCCGGACCUCCCAAACCCCCAACUGAUGCAGGGUACAUGUCAUCACCAGAGCGCGGUGGGUCUGCGCCAGGUAGGGUGUACCCCGCCCCCUACGUCUCCCCGGGGGCGGCGGGACCCUACGAGGACCCCUACUACAGCCAGUAUGGAUCCAGAACCGGCUCAAUAACUCCUGUCAUCGACGAAGAGGCUAGUGAUACCGAACUGAUAGACGAGUCGUACAGUUUGUACGGCGUGAAGCUGCCUGUGCCCCGUGCUGGGGGCCAGUUCCCCCCCGGCCCCCCUGUGCAUCCGCCCUAUGAUGCCACCAGGAUACGUGUCGAGCACAUGGAGAGACAGCUGGCCAAUUUGACGGGUCUAGUGCAAAAGGCACUCACUCAAGCACCUCCGACAACUCCCCGCGAAUUCCUCAGCGUUCCUCCCGGCAGUAACUCAAACUAUAGAAAUGCUAAUGAUGAUUAUGACAAACACUCCAGCUCCAGUUCAGCUUCUCUACCGGAUGAGACCUAUGUUAGAUCAGACACAAAACCACCGAAACUGGGAAGAGACAAAUCGGUUAGUUUCGAGAAGUCGGUUUCAUUCAGUGAUGAACCACCAGACAUGAACUCGCCCAAACAACAUUCGCCGCAGCAUGGAGUCGACACUAAGCCAACAAAACCUGCCAUCAAGUCUUCUACUUUGCCAAGGACCUCAUCACAAGAUUCUUCUUCAGAACGAGACCGCCACAAACCCGCUCCGCCCCCCAAGCCCGUCUCUCUGUCGCCCGGCCAGUAUGAGGGAAGGCAUGUGUAUAGGGAUUUGCAGCUAACGCCGGAAAUGUACAACCAGCUGCGCGGCCUGCAGAAGAAAGCCAAAGACCUGCGCCAGGAGAUGAGGAAUCUCAGACGAAUGUCUCAAGCUCAAGCCCAUUCGGUUAGGGAAACAAUGAAGGAUACGUUCAUCAAAAUUCGAGCAAUGUUGAUGACGGGUGGAGAGGGCAUUUGGUCGGCAGCGGGUGACGCAGAGCGAUCGAGGUUGAACAGAGAGGAAGACCUCUACAAACAGGAGAUGCUUCGGCUCGAGUCUGACCUCACCGAACUGGAGAGCACAGUUGAAGAGCUGAGAGGAAACGUGAUCAAUCGCAAAACUAGAGUGAACAUGUCGGAUGUUGAGAAUAUGGCUUUAAUACUAAGUAAAUCCAGUAAAACUGUGGCCGAAUUGAAGCUACGAUUUCCUAGUUUACAAGAUGCUAUGAGGUCGUUGCUCAGUCAAGAAAUGGAGAAGGUUGUCUGUGAAGAAAAAUUUUUGAAAGAAGAGCCUGAACGUCUGGAAAGUGCACUUCGGCGUUGCAAAAAGCUAACUGGAACAUUAGUUACAUUGAAAAGAUUGGCAUCGGUUCAAGAACAGCGUCUUCCUGACACUCGACUGUCUCCCACAAUGGACGAAACUCCCCCUGUCACCCCCACCUCAGGAAAGUUUCAAAAGGGUGAACUGCUGAAGCAGAACUGCUGACUUAAAUUCUCGUUCAAUAUGUGAACUGAAUGGCUGCAUGAUUAUCUCAUCAUUUUAGGCCUCUGGAGCGGGGGAUGUCGUGGGGCCGAGCGGGGGGCCCGGGGGGGUCGCAGGAAGAGGGGGGCUCGACGCCUCCCGUCCGGAGAACGCACUCGACGCUCUGCUAGACGAACUGCAGACGUUUGCAAAACCGCCCCCUCCCACCGGCAGCAGCAGCACCAGCACACCAACCAGUGCUGGCGGCAACUUUACACUGCGCAGACUCCACUCAUACCCGUCGGGUGAUAGUGGGAAGCCACCAGUGCCCGAGAGAGGGGCAGAUCUGUUGUCGAAACGUGUGCCUCCACCUCCUCCCCCCCGCACCUCAUCACGUUCGCCCCUAUCUUCCCCCACGGGGCCGUCGGUUCCACCACGCGGGCAGUCUCCUCUACGCAGAGGCCGCUCCAGUCUGAAGGAGAACUCGAAAUCGGGCGGCGCCGAUCCUCCGCUGUCGUCCAGCUGUGAGAGUGUCAACUCGCAGGAGGGAGUACCAGGCGCUCAGUCUCGCCAGGAGAUGCUUGAGCAACGCCACCAGGAGUUGUUGCGCAAGCAGCGCGCUCUGCAGGAGCAGUACACCCGGCUGCAGCAGCUGCAGCGCGCGCCCCCUCCCGACCUCCUGCAGCUGAAGAAGACCGGUAGCGAAAGCAAUCUGCUGGCCAAGAUGGGUCUGGGACUCAGUGCUGCCGCACCCAUGUCGGGUAGCCUCUCCCACCUGGGCCCCACCACCACACCCUCCACCACCACACCCACCACCUCAACCUCCACCUCCACCACUAGCAAAGUAUAUGAGACAGAUAUACUGUGACAGAACACACUUGUCUAGCAAUUACUGUCCACUGCAGCCGCCACCCACAUCCACUCGUUUUAUGACAUGCUUUUGGUGCCUCGUCCAAAUGAAAGCCCAUUAGUUGCAACAUAGCAAGUUGACAUUUUUUGAUCUUGUCAUUAAAGUACGAUUUUUUUAAGAGGAAUGUUCUAUAUAACACUGCUUCCAAUGAAGAUCUACUAAUAAUAAAAAUCAGACUUAGUAGAAGAUGGUGAGAAUAAUAGGAUUUUAAAAGAUAGAGAAAAAAGAGUUGUAAUUUUUUGUGUAUUAUCAGUCUAUCUGCCAGUAGUUUAUCACCAGUUAUCGCGAAUUGAAGUUUUAUAGAGUACAAAUGACAUGCGGAACUAGGCACCAAAGAUGUCAAAAACCUUUGAAUCCUAUACGAUCCUUGUGGAAUUUGAGACCCCCAAACCUUUCAAUUGCAAUUUGUCAUAGAAUGUAGGUUGUUGCUUCAAACUGGUCAUCAACGGUUUUGAUUAGCUCAAAACAAUGUAUCACUGAAUUAUAAUUGACAACGUUGAAAAACAAUUUUUAUAAUUGACUGUUACUGCACGAUGCUAUGAAAACAACUAUAUUGUAUCAACCAAACAUUUCAUAUUAGGAAUACAUUUUUAAUUUUUUGAUGUUAAAAUUAACAAAUUUAACGACACAUUCAAAGUGUGAUUUUUAAAAUGUAUAGGUAUUUGUUCCACCAUUCUCAGCAACGACACAUGUUAACAAUAUUACAACUUCACAAGAGAUCAAAAUCAAGGAAUUUUCAAAACCGGAGAGAUAUUUAUUAAGUAAGUGAAAUACUUGAGUGUUUACUUGAUUUUCAAAGAAAUUCAACUCAAUGUUUUCCUACAUGAUUGACUCAUCUCAAAAUUCAUUUGAAUAUUGAAUAUUUGGCGACCAAUCUAAAAGUUCCUCUUGAGAAAUGAAUGUUUUUGUGUAUUGUUUAGUUCUAAUUAUUGAAUCUAACCUAACUGCUCUGAACCUAUCGUUUUUAACCUUCUCCAAUUUUAAUAGAGUUUUAAUUUAACUUAUUUAGGGCAUAUUGUGAAAUCCAAUGUGAUGAAAUAUCAUAUUCUUGUAUGAGCAUAUGAGAUAAGCUAGACUUUAUUGUGUGAAAUGUACAUGAAAUGUUGCAGGUCAUCAAUAUUGGCUCUGGUCGUGCUUACAAUUUUUUUGUUUCUGCACAUGCGUUGUAGCCUAUAGCUUUUCAAUGUUAUCAAUUAAAGAGCAAAAGCUACAGUGAAAUACCUAAUACGGUACCUCCAUCUUACAUGACUGAACUAUCAUCACAGACUUAUUUUAUAGGCUAAUUAUUAUUGAUAUCUUUAUCAACUUGAAUGCAUUUUUACAAUGCUACUGUCAGCUUUGAACGAAUGCUACAAUGCUACGCUUUGAACGAAUAACCAUCAGGGAUAGAAUUCCUCUAAACAUUUUAUUGAUGUUUUAAUUCUAUGUAAAGAUAUCGUUGUUUAAACGGAAUCCUAGGCAUGAUAUUUUAAUUUGUUGUUAAAUGUUGUUACCGCUGAGAAGGCUGCCCCAGAUAUAAAUUUGUUGACUUUUAAAAAGCAUAAUAUAUAUUAUCGCCUUAUUUGUUGAGUAUUAUUAUUAUUUCCAAGGUAUAUAAGCUGUAAUUCAGUUAAUAUUUCUACGCCAAUACGUGUGUUGGGUUGCAUUGAUGCUUGAGAAAAACCUAUUUUGUAUAGUAAAUGUAUAAAUAGUUUGUGUAUACAUUUGUAAGUUCUGUUACAAUUUAUAAUAUUUUAUUGAAAUGUUUAAAAGCAGUUAGUAUGUGAAACAUGAGGUCUUAUGUCUUAAUGAUAUUUUUGUGAGCUUUACACUCUCUUCAAAUGUGCGUUUUCUUAGAAAAUUAUAUGUGGAAUCUUCAAAAUGUGACUCAUUGUAGUUUAAGCUUACAAUUUAGUUGAGAAUUUAAUUUAUUAUACUAUGAUACCUAUGUAUGUGUUAGUCAAUAAGUUUUGUAUUAUAAUUCAAUCAAUCAUUAUAUUAUAAAUAAAUGUCUAGGAACAUUUCCUACUAGUUUUUGUUUCAUUUUAUUUUGAGCUAAACUAUAUUAAUUUUGUGAUCAAUUGUUUGCUUAUAACUAGAAAAGUGUGCACUCCAUAAGGUCUACACUCUAUUAAUUACUGGUACAUUACGAUCAUAUCAUCUUGUGUCUAUUCUCAAAUUUGAAUUACUCCUUUGAAGAUCUUCAAUGAUUUAUGUAACCAAUAUUUUUAUCAUAAAAAUUGGUUUAUAUUUUGAUGGAAUCACUUUCCUUUCUCAUUAUAGAGAGUUUCUAAAAAAAAUGUUCAGCCAGUAAAGCCGACUACUUGAAAUGUGAGUGUAUAGGUGGCGGAGCAUAUUUCAUAUUUCAAUGGCGGAGCAAUUAUUGAUUACGGUAUCUACCAUAGUCUUUCUAAUAAUUCAAAUAGCCUUUGAAAUUUAAUGUUUGGUCAAUUCACUUUUGAAUAAAUCAUCGUCCUUUUACUGUUCAACAUGAAAGCUGUAAUAUAAUUCAUGCGUUUAAACAGAGAACAAAACACCAAGAAUUUUGAAAAAAUAUCUGAGAGAUGAAUUUCAGUUUCAUAUGUGUGUUUUUUAAGAUCAAAUUUCAUACAUAGUGUUGGAUGUAACCAAUAAUGUAAUAAUUCUCUCCAAUACAUUCUUCAUACGGUACAUGAAUUAUGAAAACCUAUCAUGAGGUUGAUAGUAAUUUGAAUGAUAUAUGAUAAUAAUAAAGUCAAACAGUAACUGUAAAAUAACAUACUAGUUUGAAACCGCCAAAUUAUCCUAUUGGAACUUAUUAAUGUAUGAGAGCAUUGAAAUUAGUGUUAUAGCUAAUGGAUAAUUGAGAUUUGGACCCAAUUACCCAUUUAAAAAUCAUUUUAUUAUCCACUGAUGAAAAUAUUUGCUCAACUGACUGUAGUAACCAAAAUAAUCAGUGUAUAUGUUCGAAUAUAUAAAUGUAUCGUGUAUUCACCUCUUGAGUUGACGUUUUAAUAUGCACUCGACUUGUUUGCAACGAUGGAAAAAAAUAUAUAUAAAAUAUACAUCAUAUGAAUAGUUUAUAAAUAAAUAUACAUUAUUGUAAUAAGGCAUAAAAAAUAUAAUGAGAAUAUACAUUAAUGUUUAUCAACACCAGUUCAGCAUUGCAAUUAAGAUUGCAAUGUUAUCAAUUCUAUUGAUAGUUGUUGCAUAAUAUUUAAAAAUCUUUUAGUUAUGCACAUUUUUGGAGAAAAAUUUUCAUUUUUGAUGUUUGAAAAAAGUGUAUGAAUUUUAAUAUGAAUAACAAGUUACAGUACAGAAUGUAUAGCGAUGUGAGAAUCAUUUGCAAGAUAGAACUGUCGAUCCCCACAACUACAGAUGCUAUAAAGAGUAACUGUAGCCUACCUACAAAAAAAAAUUAUUUCAAAACUGGUUAUUAUAUCUUCUAAUCUAAUGUAAUUUUUUAUUUCAAACAUAUAUUAGUAAUUCUAUUCAAAAUUAGAAGCUGUUUGUUGAACGCAUAAGAUGCUAUUGUUGAUAAUCCUGCGAAAUUCUAGUUGUCAUUCAACUCUUGUAAUGUUUUAUUUCUUACAUCAUUUUCCACAGUCUCUGAUUAAUAUGAAAUGCAUUUUAGAAGCAUGCUCAACCGUAGUAAUGCUCUAAAUAACUAUAUAUUAACUAUACAUAAUACUGUGUGCCAAAUUACUACCGUACCCAAAGUCCUGCUGCAAAGAAAAAUGUUCUUUAUCGUCUUCCAAACUAAGCGCUCAAUAAUUUAUCAAUCUCACAAACUCAAAUAGGUACUCUUUGCAAUAGUUCUAUUGUUUGCUCCGAUCAUUUAUUGAUCAAUCUCCAUAAAUUCACAAACCAUCAAACUUGCCCUUCAUUUAGAAAGUUCCCAAAACAGUUAAUUUAAUAAAAAAUAUAAUUAUUCAGUUUAUCGAUUGAUAAUUUUUGACAUCUUGUGGGACCGGAGUCCUCCAAAUCUAUUAUAUAGAUAUAUCAUCAUAAAAAGUCUAGUACCCUACUUGCUGAAAUCAUACUCAUUCUGUUGGCAAUACACAUGAAGUUUCCCUGUUUUAUUAAUUCAUUUACCACCUUUUUUGGAUCAGUCCAUCCAUCAAUAAUGUUCAAAAAUUGAUAUAUUCAAAUUGUUUUAUAUAUCCUUUAUUACAUUCUUCACUCUUCCAUUAAGUAAGGAAAUCACCAACCGCAUAAAAAUAAGAUUCAUGACUAGAUUGCUUCUUUGCAAGAAUAUGGAACAUUUUUUACUGUAUUCUAAAUUGGUAUAGCCUGUAUAUUUGAUUUCGAACCUGUUGAACACUAAUCUUACUCUGUAAUAUAUAUGAAUAAAUCACUUUUGUUUAAAAA